UCCAAUUAGUCCAACCAGGCCACUUGGAGUC
rnacentral:piRNA from 2 species